GUCUACGGCUAUGCCACCCUAAACAAGCCUGAUCACAUCUGAUCUCGGAAGCUAAGCAGGGUCUGGCCUGGUUAGUAGGUGGAUAGGAGACAACCUAGGAAGACCAGGUGCUAUAGGCA
rnacentral:rRNA from 1 species